GUGUUUUUAAAAUAAAACUGGCGUUAUUUUAUGUAAUUUAAUUAAAUGGAUUAAUUUAAUUGUAUAUAGUUUGAUCUAGGCGAGAAAUUUAAUGUUAGUUUCGAACUUGAUAAAAUUAUUAACUCGAAAUGUUUGGAUUGAUAUAAUGUUAAACUUGAGUAAUUGUUGAAAAAAGAUAAAAGAAAAAUGUCACGUCGAAAUUAACGAGUUUUUACAUUGAAUUGACUGUACAAAUGUGAUUGUUGAGGAAUGUAUAUACAUCAUGGACGAUCAUUCUUUCUUUUUUUUCUUUAUCGUGUAAGAAUUCGUAUUAUUUUUAUUUUAUAUAUUUUUAUAAAUUUUUCAUUUUAUAAUCUUUCUUCAAUCUAAUAUUUCGAGACAAGAUCUCGUAACCCAGUUACAGAAGAGGAUUAUAUUAUUAUUCUUACAUGAUGAGGAAUUGCAUAAUUGAAUUAUAAUUAGAAUAGUAGGGCAGAGUAACAAAUCAAGAAGUCGGAGAAGAGGACGAAAUAAGUAGGGCCAACAAUUUCACAAAUUGUAUCAUACGGAAACGAGGAAUUACAAAACGACUGUUUAAAAGAAUAUUAAAAAAUGAAAUUUAACGUCCUUGGAAGCUUGGAAAUCGCACGUUAAAAAUCUGCGUAACUUCACGAAUGGAACGCUACCAGCGGUGCUUUCACUUCUCCACCUCUCUCUGCUCAACUUUCGCGUAACGAUCCUUCCUCCUUUUUUUUCUUUCUUUUCCCUCAUUUACUUGAUUACGUGAACACGGUGAAAUUUUGUCAAGCAUACGUGUAAGUGUACCAACCGCUGAAAGAGGCCUUCGUGUCCCACAGAGUCGCAACGUUCCUCUUUGUCCUUUUUCUCUCUUCUGUCCACGUGGAAAAAAACAAACGAGACGAUUUCAAUGCGAAACGAGGGAUUUUUGUUAAUUGUGUUAAAAAUGUAUUACGUAUCCGGUUUACCGUACGUAAACUCGCGGGAAACACCUUGCGAAAAUUUUCCUUGUUCCAAGUUGGAGAGAGGAAAAAAAUUAUUCUCGUAUUUCUUCACUCGUGUGUGUGUGUAUACCCGUGUUGUUAUAUCGACAGGGUUGAAAACAGGGUUAUUAUAUCGAUUUUUAUUCGUAACCUUUUCACGCUACGGUAUUCUUAGAAUUGAAUUUUUUUCUUUUUUUUUUUUUUCAGAUUGAAACUCUAAUACUGAAAGAGAGAAAGAAAAAAGAACAUACGUUACAAUGGGUAUAAAUAGAGAUAAUUUUAUGUAUGAUUUUUAUUAUAGAGGACUUAUAAACAGUAUGUUUAGUAAUUAAUUAUACGUUCUCAAAAUAGAAAUGUUCUCAAACGUUACAAACGUUAUAUAAAAUAAGAGGUCGAUGUGAAAUAAAAACGUACGUGUAAUUUUCGAUAUUGUAUACAGAUGGCGCAACGAGAGAAUUAAAUAUGUAUAAAUUAUAUUUCAUAUAUAUAUAUUAUAAAUUGACAAAUAUUCGACGAUCAAUCGACGAAAUUUAUUUGGAAAAUUUUUUAUUAAUUUUUCCUUCUCUUUUUCAGAUAAGUAAAUGUUUAAGAAGAAUCUGUACGUAAAUAUUAUUACAUUCGAAUCAAUAAAUAAUCUGCAUAUAAAAAUGAUAGAAUAACUCGAGAAUUUUUAUUCACCGUAUAACGGCAUCGUGUGGCAACAGAUGUUUGCCAGGGCUGUUUAAAUAAUAAGUCUCAUAUACGAUUACACGAUAAAACGUACAAAUAUUAUUUCUAUUUUUAACGUAUUUUCGUGCGUGAUAAAAUAAAACUUUUAAUAAGGAAAUGAAACAAAAUUUCCUUUCGGAAUUAUAAUCGAAAUUAUAAUCGAAUAAGGGGAAAGAAGCAGCAUUUAUGAAGCGAGGACAUUUCAAUGAAAAGUCAUCAUCCCCAUACAUUUCAAAUAACAAAAUACGUAUUUUGCUCUCGAAUUGUGUUUCCACGCGAUGCGCGUGUCAAUGAUAAAAUCGUGUGUGUCGCGCGUGUCGAGGGCGCGAUAAAUCGAUCGAAGUUUUCGAGUUAAAAGGGUUUCCACGUGAAAUUAACACGCGGGGGUCCUUCGCGAGCGUCCCCGGCCCUGACUGCCGGCCGAGAGAAUCCAUGUCAAGGUAGUAGAAACAACCACGAGCACCGUCCACGCGCCUCCCUCAAUCUGGAUUACCGUUCAUGGAUUCUUCGACCACUUGCUAAACACGCUUUUCGCACAUUUCGUCAAACCAAAUAUACAUCGUGAUAAUUAAAGAUAUCUCAAAUCAUAUUCCAGAUAAAUAUAAUUUAAAUGUCUCGAAUUUACGCAUUCACGUAUCAAUUUUCAAUGGGAGAAAAGAAAAAUGUAAAGGAUAAGUGACGAUUUUUUAAAAAAAUUUUUUUUUAAAAAUUGAAGAAGAAGAAAUGAAGUAUUGCAUCUUUCUUAUAUUAUAACACAAUAUCCAUUAUCCAUGGAUGAAUGAUUUUUAAGAAAAUUCUUGUUUCAGAAAGGACAGGAAAGUCCACUUUCUGAAACCGUGAUGUAACACAUUGCAUGAUUAAGGAAAAAGCUUUACCCGAUUAAGAUCUGGGGGGAGAGAAAAAAAAAAAAUAAAUUUCAGAGGGGAAACGAUGGAGGAAAGAUUUCUCGGCCUCUUUCUAUAUUUAGACCCUCCUCGUCUCCGAUUUUAAUUUCGGAAUAUCGUCUCGAUGUCAGGAAUUCAGCCGUCUCCUAAAUCGAGAUGUUUAACGCAAUCACUCCCUCUCGCGAUUGAAUCGUGCACCAUUUAUCGAAGAACAAAAAAAAAAAAA